GACGAACGCUGGCGGCGUGCUUAACACAUGCAAGUCGAACGGAAAGGCCCUGCUUUUGUGGGGUGCUCGAGUGGCGAACGGGUGAGUAACACGUGAGUAACCUGCCCUUGACUUUGGGAUAACUUCAGGAAACUGGGGCUAAUACCGGAUAGGAGCUCCUGCUGCAUGGUGGGGGUUGGAAAGUUUCGGCGGUUGGGGAUGGACUGGCGGCUUAUCAGCUUGUUGGUGGGGUAGUGGCUUACCAAGGCUUUGACGGGUAGCCGGCCUGAGAGGGUGACCGGCGACAAUGGGACUGAGAGACGGCCCAGACUCCUACGGGAGGCAGCAGUGGGGAAUAUUGCACAAUGGGCGGAAGCCUGAUGCAGCAACGCCGCGUGCGGGAUGACGGCCUUCGGGUUGUAAACCGCUUUCGCCUGUGACGAAGCGUGAGUGACGGUAAUGGGUAAAGAAGCACCGGCUAACUACGUG
rnacentral:rRNA from 1 species